rnacentral:rRNA from 1 species
CGAACGCUGGCGGCGUGCUUAACACAUGCAAGUCGAACGGUGAUGCUCCAGCUUGCUGGCGUGGAUCAGUGGCGAACGGGUGAGUAACACGUGAGCAACCUGCCCCAGACUCUGGAAUAAGCGCUGGAAACGGCGUCUAAUACUGGAUACGAAACUGGCCCGCAUGGGCAUGGUUUGGAAAGUUUUUCGGUUUGGGAUGGGCUCGCGGCCUAUCAGCUUGUUGGUGAGGUAAUGGCUCACCAAGGCGACGACGGGUAGCCGGCCUGAGAGGGCGACCGGCCACACUGGGACUGAGACACGGCCCAGACUCCUACGGGAGGCAGCAGUGGGGAAUAUUGCACAAUGGGCGAAAGCCUGAUGCAGCGACGCCGCGUGAGGGAUGACGGCCUUCGGGUUGUAAACCUCUUUCAGCAGGGAAGAAGCGAAAGUGACGGUACCUGCAGAAGAAGCACCGGCUAACUACGUG